rnacentral:rRNA from 2 species
GAUGAACGCUGGCGGCGCGCCUAACACAUGCAAGUCGAACGGUUAAAGCACCUUUUAGGUGUGUAUAAAGUGGCGAACGGCUGAGUAACACGUGGGCAACCUGCCCUCCUCUUGGGGAUAGCCUCGGGAAACCGAGGAUAAUACCCGAUACUUCAAUGUGGCCGCAUGACGACAUUGAGAAAGCUUUUGCGGAGAAGGAUGGGCCCGCGGCCCGUUAGCUUGUUGGUGGGGUAGAGGCCUACCAAGGCAAUGAUGGGUAGCUGGGUUGAGAGACCGACCAGCCAGAUUGGGACUGAGACACGGCCCAGACUCCUACGGGAGGCAGCAGUGGGGAAUCUUGCACAAUGGGCGAAAGCCUGAUGCAGCGACGCCGCGUGCGGGAAGAAGGCCUUCGGGUUGUAAACCGCUUUCAGCAGGGACGAGGCGAAAGUGACGUACCUGCAGAAGAG